rnacentral:lncRNA from 1 species
AAAUGAGAAAACUGAAUGUCAGAGAAAUGAAGCAUCUUACCCAAGAACACAGAGCUAGUGAGUAUCAAAGGCAGAGCAGAAACCAAAUUCUUCCUGAUUCCAAGUCAGACACUUCAUCCACUAUUCCACACUGUCUCAUAUUCAUUUAAAGGCAGCAGUGAUUCCAAAAGGUUACAAAAGAUUCAGCAGUUUUAAGCUUGGGAGGCAAUCAUGCCUGACAGCACAGAUCUCUGCCACCAGACAACCCUGGCAUGGCUUGGAAAGAGGAAUCCUUUCCUACUACCUCAGCUGGUUUUUCCAUUGCCAUACCUUUGUGAAAACUCUGAAGCUUCAAGAAUUGGCUCCCUGCUAUAGCCAAGGACACUGGUCCCAGGCUCUCCAUAUUUCCCUAGAAAUCUGUUUGAGGGGAAGUUAUACAAAGAGUGUGUUCCACCUUUGAAAUGAUGUUCAGCUCAUCUCCAAAAGUCACAAGAUCAACAUGAUCGGGAAGAUUCCAUAGUAAGGGGGUUUAGAAUAAAGGUUUCCAUGAAUUUUAUCA